CCUCUUAGCGGGGGAUAACUAUUGGAAACGAUAGCUAAUACCGCAUAAAAGUCGAUAUCGCAUGAUGUUGACUUGAAAGGUGCAAUUGCAUCACUAAGAGAUGGACCUGCGUUGUAUUAGCUAGUUGGUGAGGUAACGGCUCACCAAGGCGACGAUACAUAGCCGACCUGAGAGGGUGAUCGGCCACACUGGGACUGAGACACGGCCCAG
rnacentral:rRNA from 1 species